rnacentral:rRNA from 1 species
GGUUGCGAUCAUACCAGCACUAAUGCACCGAAUCCCAUCAGAACUCCGUAGUUAAGCGUGCUUGGGCGAGAGUAGUACUAGGAUGGGUGACCCCCUGGGAAGUCCUCGUGUUGCAACCC